rnacentral:rRNA from 1 species
GACGAACGCUGGCGGCGUGCUUAACACAUGCAAGUCGAACGAUGAAGCCUAGCUUGCUUGGUGGCUUAGUGGCGAACGGGUGAGUAAUUCGCGAGUGACCUACCUUUGACUCUGGGAUAAGCCUGGGAAACUGGGUCUAAUACCGGAUACGACCAAUCUCCGCACGGGGUGUUGGUGGUAAGAAUAAGGGAGUGGUUUUAGAUGGGCUCACGGCCUAUUAGCUUGUUGGUGAGGUAAUGGCUUACCAAGGCGACGACGGGUAGCCGGCCUGAGAGGGUGACCGGCCACACUGGGACUGAGACACGGCCCAGACUCCUACGGGAGGCAGCGGUGGGGAAUAUUGCACAAUGGGCGCAAGCCUGAUGCAGCGACGCCGCGUGAGGGAUGACGGCCUUCGGGUUGUAAACCUCUGUUAGCAUCGAAGAAGCGAAAGUGACGGUAGGUGCAGAGAAAGCGCCGGCUAACUACGUG